rnacentral:rRNA from 1 species
UACGUAGGAUGCAAGCGUUGUCCGGAAUUAUUGGGCGUAAAGGGCUCGUAGGCGGUCCAUCGCGUCGGGAGUGAAAAGCUGGGGCUUAACCCCAGUCCUGCUUCCGAUACGGGUGGACUAGAGGUAGGUAGGGGAGAUCGGAAUUCCUGGUGUAGCGGUGAAAUGCGCAGAUAUCAGGAAGAACACCGGUGGCGAAGGCGGAUCUCUGGGCCUUACCUGACGCUGAGGAGCGAAAGCAUGGGGAGCAAACAGG